CUGGGCCCAGAGCCCCUGGCUCACUCAGGGCCCCAGGGGAAGGCUGCUUAUAGUUCAAGUCCCAGCUGAGCCUUGCCAAGCUCCAUAGGGCUUAUAGGCGCUAGCAACUCCUCCCACUUCAAAAAACAAAACAAAACAAAACAAACAAAAAAAAACAACUCAGGAGUUAAAGAAAAAAAAAAAAGCAGUCCAGCACUCUGAGCCUCCCUAACUCCCUGCCUGCAGCAGGACCAGGUAGGCCUGGAUCAAUCCCCUGAACCCCAGAUGAGGAAUCCAGGGCUCCGGUGAGCGUGCUUUGCCCUGCCCCAAAUGUGGCCCUGAUGCUCCUGGAACCUGGGCCUGAGGGCCUCAGUUGGG
rnacentral:lncRNA from 1 species